GGGCCCGCACAAGCGGUGGAGUAUGUGGUUUAAUUCGAUGCAACGCGAAGAACCUUACCAGGGUUUGACAUCCUGCGAAUCUCUUGGAAACGAGAGAGUGCCUUCGGGAACGCAGUGACAGGUGGUGCAUGGCUGUCGUCAGCUCGUGUCGUGAGAUGUUGGGUUAAGUCCCGCAACGAGCGCAACCCACGUCUUUAGUUGCCAGCAUUUAGUUGGGCACUCUAGAGAGACUGCCGGUGAUAAACCGGAGGAAGGUGUGGAUGACGUCAAGUCAUCAUGCCCCUUACGGGUUGGGCUACACACGUGCUACAAUGGUAGUGACAAUGGGUUAAUCCCAAAAAGCUAUCUCAGUUCGGAUUGUCGUCUGCAACUCGACGGCAUGAAGUCGGAAUCGCUAGUAAUCGC
rnacentral:rRNA from 1 species